AAGAAGUGUGAUCCAAGAAUGAGAAAAUGAUAAUAAUAAUAAUAAAACAUAAUUAAAGUAGGACCUACAAUUAACAUAAAAAAAGAAAAAAAUAUUAUAUUUACAUAGACUUUUUAACUUUGUCUUUUCCUCUUUCUCCAUGACUCUUAAGCUUUUUCUGGUCUAUAAUAUUUGGGUAGGCUCCCAUUUUUUUCUUGCUUAUGGCCUCACUUUUUGCAGAGAUCCCCCUACUCACCGCCUUCCGGAACG
rnacentral:lncRNA from 1 species